rnacentral:rRNA from 1 species
GACGAACGCUGGCGGCGUGCCUAAUACAUGCAAGUAGAACGCUGAAGGAGGAGCUUGCUUCUCUGGAUGAGUUGCGAACGGGUGAGUAACGCGUAGGUAACCUGCCUGGUAGCGGGGGAUAACUAUUGGAAACGAUAGCUAAUACCGCAUAAGAGUGGAUGUUGCAUGACAUUUGCUUAAAAGGUGCACUUGCAUCACUACCAGAUGGACCUGCGUUGUAUUAGCUAGUUGGUGGGGUAAGGGCUCACCAAGGCGACGAUACAUAGCCGACCUGAGAGGGUGAUCGGCCACACUGGGACUGAGACACGGCCCAGACUCCUACGGGAGGCAGCAGUAGGGAAUCUUCGGCAAUGGACGGAAGUCUGACCGAGCAACGCCGCGUGAGUGAAGAAGGUUUUCGGAUCGUAAAGCUCUGUUGUAAGAGAAGAACGAGUGUGAGAGUGGAAAGUUCACGCUGUGACGGUAUCUUACCAGAAAGGGACGGCUAACUACGUGCCAGCAGCCGCGGUAAUACGUAGGUCCCGAGCGUUGUCCGGAUUUAUUGGGCGUAAAGCGAGCGCAGGCGGUUAGAUAAGUCUGAAGUUAAAGGCUGUGGCUUAACCAUAGUAGGCUUUGGAAACUGUUUAACUUGAGUGCAAGAGGGGAGAGUGGAAUUCCAUGUGUAGCGGUGAAAUGCGUAGAUAUAUGGAGGAACACCGGUGGCGAAAGCGGCUCUCUGGCUUGUAACUGACGCUGAGGCUCGAAAGCGUGGGGAGCAAACAGG